UACACAAAUCUGGAUAGCAUAUGUCGUGAGGUAUUUCCUGCGUGAAAAUCUUCUUGUACUUCACAACGUGCUGUACGCUUUGCCUGGAGGAACGAAGAAACUGCCUUUUUUCCACUGGAAGCAGACAACGUCGAAUCUGCUGCUAAAGGAAGGAUUUAUAACAAUGAAUUGGUAACAUCUUGAGUGGCACCACCAUAAAGGAGAAUGCCACGUGUCACGAAGUGUUGGAUCAUAUCAGUUCUCUUUCACUUCAGGAUAUAGCGGUACCUGAAGGAUGCAUAAAAGUGCUUUUACCUGUUGGAAUCAAAAGAAAUGUGUUGCAGCAAGUAUUUUUAUGGCAAUGAAUUGGUUGGUUAAACGAACGAUAUAAGGGCGUUCAGGUUAAUUAGGUGCUACUGAUGUGCCAACAAUUGCACCAUUCAUUCUGGUCUUGGACUGCUUUUAACAUCAAUUCCUUCAACAUUAUGCAUCUAAUUCCUGAUGGAUGAGUAACAACCCCUGGAAUUUUCAUUCGUCCUGAAAUAGCAAAUGUCCUCAUUCCUGGUGGCUUUGAUCUGCUUUUCACAUUAUUAAACUUUGGAACGUAACAUUCUGCAGCUAAUCAAGAUCAACGGUGGAAAAGACAAAGAAGAUCCCGUAGUUAAAAUACUUCCUUAUUUUGCAUGUUUUUUUAUUAGAAUUAGU